CGUCAGACACAUGAUUUCUUUUCUCUGAAGGAAUUCUGAAUAAUUAAGAUGCAAGUGCAGAUAUUGUGUGUGUGCUGCUCAAAUUGAGAAGCAGAGAGGCCUGUCUGGGUUCUCCUGUUUCCAUGACGAUGUUCAGUGACAUCUCUACUCGACAGGCCCGCAACAAAGAGGCUCCAAGAAAUGGUUCUUCUCUCAGACCACAAAGGGAAUUCAGGACCGCUCAGAUGUACUCCAGCAACGUGGGGCCCAUCCCAGGUCAGUACUGGGACCAUCCAAGUCCUGCGGGAGGUCCUAGAGAGACAGUUCAUCGGAGCGCUCGCUGAAGUCAUCAUCCAAGCAUCCAUCAAAUCUACUCACAAGGCCUUCCUUUGUUUUCCAUUAAGACAAGAUUUGUUUUAGACCUUAGGCAAGGAGCUUAGAAAACGACAAAAGACUGCUAUGGCCAGUCCUUUUGUGCCGGACUGCCCAAGAUUAACCUCAAACUCCCUAAAGAGUAGGCUACUAAGCUUAAUUAUUUUUCUGUAAUUUACAAAAGCGUCAGAAAAAAAUAUAUAAUAUGCCUGUGUAAUGAUGUUUGGUUUACUAAUGGUAGGG